rnacentral:lncRNA from 1 species
AAUAUUCCUGUUUUAUGCCUGUGUUGGGGAUCAUCAUUUUUAUAUCGCUAAUAAAUUUGUUUUAAAUGGUUUUUCUAGACAGAGUUUUUAUUUGUGGCCCUGGCUGUCCUAGAACUCACUCUGGCCUAGACCCAGUUAGCCUUGAUCGCACAGAGAUUCUCCUGUCUCUGCCUAAGUUCUGGGACUAAAGGCAUGCACCACCAAUGCCAGCCAGUAAAGCAUUCUUAAUGCCAAUACACCUGACUCUAUAGGUGAGAGAGGGAUGAUUGUGUGUGUGUGUGUGUAUGCAUAUCUAUAUAUAUCUAUGUAUACAUAUAUUUCAAUCACAGAUUCUUGGAAAGUUAUUAGGCAGUUUCUACAAAAGAAGUACUAUAGGAUUUCCAGGUGAUAAUUGAAAAACAGAACAUAACCCCUCAACAUUUUCUAAGGCAGGUAAAUGCUAGCCAGGCCUGUUGUGUUUCCCUCCGGUGGCUAAAGAUGCUCUGUGUAGUCAGCACUGCCACUUGGCAUAUGAGGGCUCAGACUUUUUCUGAGUAUUUUGGCCAGCAAUAUGGGAGAUAGUGUUAGGGGAGAUGUGGAUAAUAUUUAAAAGUUGACACCAUAAGAAGUAGUAAUUGUCACUUUGUAAAGUAUAACGCUUUUUCUUUUGCAUGCUUAUUAAGGUGAAUGGUUAGCCAACUAAACCACAGGCUAAGCUACAGGAGUCAAAUUUUACAUUUCUCAAGUUUAUGUUCUGUGUUAACAGUUUAGCUCUUCAUGAAGGUUGGUGUUUUAUUUUGCUUUUCCUUUUCUUCCUUCUUUCUCCCCCUGUUGCAGAAUCUUGCCAUCUCAGGCUGACUUUAACUUUGCAUCCUUCUGCCUCAGUACCCCUAAGUGGGAUCUCGUGCAUGUACCACUGCAUUUUGCACUUUUUUCUGCUUGUAAAGAUACGGCACAUGAUAUAUAUGGCGACUAUAAUGGUGAAUUGUCAAUAAUUUCAGAGAAAAUGAUUCAGUUCUUUAGUACAUAGAGGUCUUAAAAGUUUCAUUGCUUUAGGCACUUCAUUAUUCUAAACUGGUUUAUGAAGUAAAACUGCUUAAUUGAUUAUGGUGUACUUCACAAAUUACUCUGAUACGUAUGCACAAGGGACCUUUGUUUCUAUUGAAUUAGGCUACUGUAGUGACUACCUUUUUUUUUUUCUAGUUCAUUUUCUUCCUUUCCAGUUUUUGUGGAAAUAGUGAAAACUGGCCUGUAGAGAUAGAUGCUGGGGAAGCUGAUGUACAAAUUGGAUACAUAGUUUUCCUUGUUGCCUUUACUUAUCAGCUGGUUUCCCAUUGUAAUAACACUGAUUUAUUUUAUAAGAAUAUAUUUUACUUUAAUAGAUGGUCAUUUUUAGAGAGACACCAGAGGCAUAAAAGCAGAGACUAAAAUAUUCUGGUGUUGUUUUGGAGUGGAACAAGGCAUGGAAAAGCAGGAACCUGUGAUUCUUUGAUCUCAGUCUUUCUCUUUCCUCACUCGAGUUUCCUCAAGUUUAGUUCUGCAUUUCAGUUCAUGCGGUGCAUCUUGUCAUAGCACAGUAGUGUGUAUAUACUGUAGUGUGCUGUCGUAGUAAUCCUUUCACCUCAGCUGCUAGCUUUGGAGGUUUAUCUUGGCUUAGUAAGAUUUAGUACUUAGUAUAUUUAUCAAGUUCUAUUAAUACUUAGUAUGCUUACCAUGUUCUACAUCCUGGAGGAUGGGUCUGUGUAGGAGAAAUUUGUCUGGGCUUCCUACAGUUAAUCUAAUUUUUAUUCUGCUUCUCAAGUUUCAAGUCUAAUAUUCUCCAUAUAUACUGUUACUGUUACUGUUUGUUUUACGUCUUCUCAGACUUGAUGUUUACAGGUUUAGAUUAUUGACAGCUUCAUUAGCAUAACUUUUAAUAAACUACUAGCAAGUUUCUAAGCAAAAUUAUACCUAACACAUUAGAAUUAUAAAUAAUCUUCUAUUAAUUUUCCUUUAUAGUGGUUUACAGAUCAGUUCCAAUCAAUUUACUAAGUAAGUGCUUAUGACAAUAUUUUGUUAAAAUACAAAUAUAAUCUUCUGCAGUCUCUUCAGCAGUUUAAAAUAUGCUUAGAAUUUUAUCACUUCUUUCUUUUUUUAGAAGCUUGAGUUACUUACUCAAAGUGACCUUACACAAAGUAGUAAUAAAAUUUAUACUAUGUUCAGAUAUUCUGUACUGUUUAGUAAGUGGGUCAUAUAUACUAUUUUUCAUGUUUUUAGUGCAGAGACCUUCCUACUUUAGAAGUGCUUAAGUUUGAAAUCUAAUGUUAGCUUAUUUCUAUAAUGUAUCUCACCCAAGCCUGAAUGUUUGUCAUUUCAAGUCUUUCCACAUCUUGCUCUCCCGGGUUUAGGUUUUUGACCUUUUGAGGUGAUGAUGUAAUAAGGCUGAUACUUUCGCACUUACAGGCUUCAGGAUAAGCAGACGGCAGCAUCUAGUCGUUAGAAAGAGUGAUCUUACUUGAUAGGACUGGACAGUAUUUCCUUUGUGAAAUACAUGCUUUUUCUUUACUGUGACUUCAGUUAUAGGUGUUCCAGGUUUAGGACAUCCUUGUAGAAGGCCUGUAUGCCCCUAAUGGAUUUGUUUAAGGAUUCAAACAUUUGAAAAAUGACUCACCUUUAGCAGGUGAUAAGUAAGGGUACACAGAACAGCUUUGACUUGUCCUGUAUUUGAAAGGCUGUCCUAUUGACUGAUAUUUUUGGGGGUUUUGUAGAUGAACAUUAUUAGACCAUUGCUUAUUUCAUAGUCUAGUGUGUAGCAUAAUAUUGAGGUUUUUAAUUUUUUUUCUUUUUGUUUUGAGAUACUUAAAACAUAGUGUUGGUUCUUGUACCAUUCAUUGUUGUUUGUCCUCAUUAGUUGAUUGUCGUGUGUUAAACAGACAUCCUCGGAGCUUACUCUCCACACUCUGUGAAUCCACUCAUUAAUCACCAGUCACCUUUGGAGAUGGGAAAAUUACUUACCUGUAUUUCUUUUUCUCAGAAAGCGUGCUCUGGAAUGGAUUCACAAAUGAGCUACCCUCCUUCCCUCAAAGAGUAAGGUUUCUGCUUUACAGGAUUUUUUUUUCCUUGGGUUAUUUUUCCUCUCAUCUUUUGAAUUUGAAAAGAACUGAGGGAAGGCACCUGAAGAAACCACUGAUACACUCACUAGGGAGUUGCAGAGCUUGUCCCGCCCCUAGGGCGGAGUCCAUGCUCCUAAAGCUAAAGCUCACACUUGAAGUGGAAACAGGGGCUCAGAGAAUCCAUUUUCCCAGUGUGCCUUCUGAAAGGAUAAGUCUCAGGUAAGGAAUUUCCUCUACUACGUGAUAUGCUGUACUCAUACUAGGAAAGGAUGCACAAUUCCCACCCUCCAGCUAUGGGCACAGCUGGAUUUUUCCAGUCAGCCUCAUAGUUGCCCUGAAAGCCAGAAAUAUAAAAACAGUAAAAUAUGAGAUACAUAGAAUCCAAAUUUAUUUUAAGCGAACAAUUUAAAACUAAGGGUGUAUUUAUUGACCAUGUAUUAUCCUAGGACUGUUAUUUCCUUUAUUAAUGAAUGAAAUCUUGAGAAAUUUGCUUUUUAAUGAGAAAGAAGAAAAUAUCUUGACUCAGUUUCCAAGCAGUGGUUGACUUACUUAUUUGUAUGGAUGCAUAUGGAUGCUUGUGUGCAUGCACACAGAUAUACAGCCAAGCAGGACAAAGGCCACUGUUUUACUUCAGAUUAGACGAUGUCUCUCUAGUGACUAGAAUAAAUAGGUUGGUCAAAUAAUUUGAAAAUACUGGUACAGUUUUAAUGUUUAUCAUGAUAACAGUAUUUAGCUGUUAAUGAGAAAAAUAUUUGGUAGCUGCAUGUAUUGAAAAUUUAGCUUUUUUAUUGAGCUAUUCAACCAUUUAUAUUUAAUUUUUAUGCUAGUACAUGUGAAUUGGUGACAAAAAAUAACAGGUAGCAAAAUACUAAACAUUUGCUUCAAUUGGUUUUUUAUGUAUAUUCUCAUUACGUUAAAUUGCACAAUGAUUUCAAUAUUUUAAAGUAUUUCAAGCAUCUGACUUUCUUUCUUUAAGGCCAUAUGUGUGAUAUGACGUCACUUACACGCACUGUUACACUCCUUUCUUGCUUUCCUGGCCGUGUUGUUUCUGAAAAACAGGGCUUCACUUGAAAGUGAGCAGAAAGGACUUUUAAGUAGCAAAUGGCUGUCUUAAAGCACCCAGGCAUAAAAGUCUUUGUAUAAGGUGUAAGGUUUACAGAGAGCUAAAAGGAACAGCUGUUUCCAGAAGCAGGGAAAAGAGAAUACAAUUGUAUAAACCUGAGAUAGUCCAGGUUGUAGAGUCAAGUGAAUACUUUGAUUUUUUUUUUUAUAGAAUAUUAUAUUUAGAAGAGAGGCAAGGAAGCAGAAUUUCUUGUCUAAGGUGUUCAUAAUUGACAAAAGAUGGCCAGCUUUAUCAAAAGAACUUUGAAGUAGACAUGAGUAUAGUACUGAUGAAUUGAGUCAGUAGGCUAGACUGGCUCAGUCACAGAUUUUUCUUUACAUAGUUUUCUCACAACUUCCUGGCCAGUGAGGAAAAUGGGGCCAAUUUUACAGUCUUCAGGGUUGAACAGUCCUUAUAUGUAAUACACAUCUUUAUGGUCAGACAAUUCUUAUUACUGUGUGUAGUACACAUCCUUGCAGUUGAACAGUACUUAUUAUUGUGUGUAAUAACACAUUCUUUGAAGAAAAGCACAGCUGUAACUGCCUUUUAAGAAAUUUGAAAAAAAGAUUUGAUGGCUUAUUUACUAUAAAGGUGUUGAGGGCUGGCAAGACGCCCUUAUGAGUCUUGCCACCAAACCUGAAAUCUGAAUCUGAUCCUUGGGAUCCACAAGGUCGCUGGAGAGAACUGACACUGUAGGUUGUCCUCUCACCUCCACUUGCACACUGUGGCAUGUGUAUACACUUGCAUCUGCACACACAAAAUUGAGUUAAAAUAUAGAGGCAUUGGAUGAUAGGGGUUACUAUUGUCUGUCCGAAUUCUUCCAGUUCACCAUGGCAGCGUGCAGCCUUUUUUGUUUUACAUUCAGAAAGCAAACUCCAGCUCGCAGCUUGUUUAAUUCUAAGGUAUCAGUUACAAGAGAACUUUAAUAAUAGCUUGGUGGGAAGUUAAUAGUUACUAUGUUGAAUGGCACAGGAGGCAAUGUAAACAGUUGGAUAUGGUGUAUUUUAGG